rnacentral:sRNA from 1 species
AUGCGGCCUUUGACUGAAGAGGAGACCCGUGUCAUGUUUGAGAAGAUCGCGAAAUACAUUGGGGAGAAUCUUCAGCUGCUGGUGGACCGGCCCGAUGGCACCUACUGUUUCCGUCUGCACAACGACCGGGUGUACUAUGUGAGGUGAGGCGGGGCCGGGCAGGCAGCAUGGACCCAGGGGAGGGGGGUCCUGGGUCCCACCAGCCUCCUUCAUCCGCAACCUUGCUCCCCCUUUACCCUUUUAGUGAGAAGAUUAUGAAGCUGGCCGCCAAUAUUUCCGGGGACAAGCUGGUGUCGCUGGGGACCUGCUUUGGAAAAUUCACUAAAACCCACAAGUUUCGGUUGCACGUCACAGCUCUGGAUUACCUUGCACCUUAUGCCAAGUAUAAAGUUUGGAUAAAACCUGGUGCAGAGCAGUCCUUCCUCUAUGGGAACCAUGUGUUGAAAUCUGGUCUGGGUCGAAUCACUGAAAAUACUUCUCAGUACCAGGGCGUGGUGGUGUACUCCAUGGCAGACAUCCCUUUGGUGAGUAGAGAUGGUAGCUGUUACAGAACUCAAGUACUCUUAUCAAGAAGGAUAUGUUUUCAAUCUGAGUGCUUGAGAGAAUAAAUUCUCAGCACGUUUUGAAUCCCAGAAAGA